rnacentral:rRNA from 1 species
GAUGAACGCUGGCGGCGUGCCUAAUACAUGCAAGUCGAGCGAACGGACGAGAAGCUUGCUUCUCUGAUGUUAGCGGCGGACGGGUGAGUAACACGUGGAUAACCUACCUAUAAGACUGGGAUAACUUCGGGAAACCGUAGCUAAUACCGGAUAAUAUUUUGAACCGCAUGGUUCAAAAGUGAAAGACGGUCUUGCUGUCACUUAUAGAUGAAUCCGCGCUGCAUUAGCUAGUUGGUAAGGUAACGGCUUACCAAGGCAACGAUGCAUAGCCGACCUGAGAGGGUGAUCGGCCACACUGGAACUGAGACACGGUCCAGACUCCUACGGGAGGCAGCAGUAGGGAAUCUUCCGCGAUGGGCGAAAGCCUGACGGAGCAACGCCGCGUGAGUGAUGAAGGUCUUCGGAUCGUAAAACUCUGUUAUUAGGGAAGAACAUAUGUGUAAGUAACUGUGCACAUCUUGACGGUACCUAAUCAGAAAGCCACGGCUAACUACGUG